rnacentral:misc_RNA from 1 species
AAGUCGUAACAAGGUUUCCGUAGGUGAACCUGCGGAAGGAUCAUUAACACGUUAUCCAACGUAUCAACCAAAGAGAACCGUUUUCACCCUCCCUGAGGCAAAGAAUGAGUGGGGUUCGAGCAGGUGUUGAAAGGGAUGCUUCGGCGUCAGCCUGUUUCUUACUAUUUAAGCAAAUCGAAAGGUUUGUUUAGACACUGUAUUUUUGCUGAAGGCAAACUCUUGCUUAGUGCUCUCCUUUCAUUGAGUGCUAUUGCAAGAACUAUUUUACCUAUUUCACCCCCUUUUUGCUAGUUGGUUUAUUCUGUUGUACUCUUUUGUGCUUCAUCUGCAUCGAAGAUACACACGUUUAAUUUAUUUGAACGUAAAAUUACAACUCUUAGCAAUGGAUAUCUAGGUUCUC